rnacentral:lncRNA from 1 species
GAGAAAGGAUAGCAUCUUCAACAAAUGGUGCUGGGAGAACUGGAAAUCCAUAUGCAACAAAAUGAAUCUGAAUCCCUUUCUCUUGCCAUGCACAAAAGUUAACUCAAAAUGGAUCAAGGAGCUUGAUAUCAAAACAGAGACUCUGUGUCUGAUAGAAGAAAAAGUUGGCUCCAAUCUACAUACUGUGGGGUCGGGCUCCAAAUUCCUUAAUAGGACACCCUUAGCACAAGAGUUAAAAACAAGAAUCAACAAAUGGGACUUACUCAAACUAAAAAGUUUUUUCUCAGCAAGAGAAACAAUAAGAGAGGUAAAUAGGGAGCCUACAUCCUGGGAACAAAUUUUUACUCCUCACACUUCAGAUAGAGCCCUAAUAUCCAGAGUAUACAAAGAACUCAAAAAAUUAAAC